CAGUCGCCGCGGGAAUACAGAGGGUGCGAGCGUUAAUCGGAUUUACUGGGCGUAAAGCGUGCGUAGGCGGCUUCUUAAGUCGGAUGUGAAAUCCCUGAGCUUAACUUAGGAAUUGCAUUCGAUACUGGGAAGCUAGAGUAUGGGAGAGGAUGGUAGAAUUCCAGGUGUAGCGGUGAAAUGCGUAGAGAUCUGGAGGAAUACCGAUGGCGAAGGCAGCCAUCUGGCCUAAUACUGACGCUGAGGUACGAAAGCAUGGGAAGCAAACAGGAUUAGAUACCCGUGUAGUCCCUGUCUCUUAUAC
rnacentral:rRNA from 1 species